GUGGGGCCACAUCCCCCUUGGGCGGGCCACAUGAAAUCAUCACACCCACAUUCACCUUCACUAUCACAUGGGUUGGCACAAUCCCCCCCUUUCUCGGCAUACGCACAGCAACAGGCGGGACCCGACAACGAAGAAGUACCACCCCUCCUUACACUUUUCCUUGGUGACACCACACCUCCCCCUUUCAGCUCUGGUGGGACCACACCUCCUCCUUUCAGCUCUGGUGGCACCACCAUGCCUCCCCCCUUUCUCUCUCCCGCCGCCUCCUUGUCCCCGUUCUUAUCAGCAAGAGAACUGCUGUUACCUCCCUUUUGGAAGGAGCCUGUUUCCCACAGUGAAGUUUACAAGCGUGAAGAAUUACCUUAAUAACGGCUUCCAUGACACCUCGGCCAAACGUAGGUCUCCUGGCCGUACCCUGGUGCUUCCCCGAAGAUACCUGGGGGAUCCGAGAUUCCGAGAGCUCUCUCUCCCACCUGAUGAAGAGUGAUGCGCACUCCUCUUCGACACUGGGCUUCCGCUACUCCACAAUAAGGAUUCGCUACCGCAGUGGGAUCCUGCUGCCGUUUAGCAGACAACUACCUUGCUCCAAAAGUCCCUAAUCACGCCUAAUCGUGACGAAUCACGUCGGCGGUCACCAUUUGAAGGCUUUACGAUCGUUAAUGGCUUUAUGAUCUCUCGCCUCCAACUGAAGCAGAAGUUAGACCAAUUACCAAGUGACACCAAGGCGGUAGGGUGGUAAAAUGGUGAUUUAUUGAAGCACACACGACCUUAUAUAACCUACGUCCAUUUGGUCUACGCCUACUGUAUUACAAGUCAGUAAGAUUCUUCCAGAAUAUGGGGAAGGGCCUGUCACAUCACAUCCCGAUAAGAUCCCAGUAUUUUGCCUAAUACAACAUCACUGAAGGAAAAGACAACAGAAGGAAGGCAACAGAAGGGCAGGGCAAUUACCAAUCCCCUUUUCUGCUUCUAUUUUACCAGUGCAAAUGAAACUGCAACUCCACUGGGAGUAAUACUAGUAGAAAAUACUCCAGAAAACAGCAUGCGACUCUUCAGGGAUCUCCAUUAAUCAGGACUGGAAUGAGCCUUACAUUUCAGUCCUUAUGUCCAUGGCUAAAUGUGUUAGCAACUGUCAGGAACAGGAUGCUUUAGUACAGAACGUGAAGUCCUCUCCUAUGUAUCGAGGCCUUCAGUACUUCCACCUCACAUUUCACUNNNNNNNNNNNNNNNNNNNNNNNNNUGGCAAAAUCAUAAAGAAGUGGAUCCUCUUAUUAUACCUGGCUGCUGGUCCUUCUUCAGUGCAAGCUCUGCAUGAGGAAAUACCCUUUGUAGGGCUUGUAAAAUUUUCGUGAGCGUUUUUCCUAGAAGCGGCUGCAUAAUAGGUGACAGUGCUCGGCCUGGUGUACGCACAGCCCUCUGUGAUGCAGGGACAAUCUUCUGCAUAGCCAUCACAAAAUCUUUUGCUUUUAUUUCAAUUGAAUUAACAUCUA
rnacentral:lncRNA from 1 species